CGCCUGGAACGGUGAGUGGAUGAAAGCUCCGGCGGCAUAGGAUGGGCCUGCGGCGUAUCAGGUUGUAGGGGGUGUAACGUACCCUCUAGCCCUCUACGCGUACGGGUGUUGGGAGACAUAGCCCGGAGAUGGAUUCUGAGACACGAAUCCAGACCCUACGGGGUGCAGCAGGCGCGAAAACUUGGCAAUGCGAGAAAUCGUGACCAGGGAACUCCAAGUGCAUCGGGUAAGACCGGUGCUUUUCUUGACUCUAAAUAGGUCUUGGAAUAAGGGGUGGGUAAGGACGGUGCCAGCCGCCGCGGUAAUACCGGCGCCUCAAGUGGUAGUCGCUUUUAUUGGGCCUAAAACGUCCGUAGCCGGUCUGAUACAUUCGUGGGUAAAUCAACCAGCUCAACUGGUUGAAUUCUGCGAGGACGGUCAGACUUGGGACCGGGAGAGGUGUGGGGUACGCUCAGGGUAGGGGUAAAAUCCUGUCAUCCUGAGCGGACCACCUGUUGCGAAGGCGCCACACUAGAACGGAUCCGACGGUCAGGGACGAAGCCUAGGGGCACGAACCGGAUUAGAUACCCGGGUAGUCCUAGGUGUAAACGCUGUGGACUUGAUGUUGGGGGUGCUCCGAGCACUCUCAGUGUCGAAGCGAAGGUGAUAAGUCCACUGCCUGGGAAGUACGGUCGCAAGGCUGAAACUUAAAGGAAUUGGCGGGGGAGCACCGCAACCUGAGGAUUGUGCGGUUUAAUUGGACUCAAC
rnacentral:rRNA from 1 species